UUAACCAGAAAGCCACGGCUAACUACGUGCCAGCAGCCGCGGUAAUACGUAGGUGGCAAGCGUUGUCCGGAUUUAUUGGGCGUAAAGCGAGCGCAGGCGGUUUUUUAAGUCUGAUGUGAAAGCUUUCGGCUCAACCGAAGAAGUGCAUCGGAAACUGGGAAACUUGAGUGCAGAAGAGGACAGUGGAACUCCAUGUGUAGCGGUGAAAUGCGUAGAUAUAUGGAAGAACACCAGUGGCGAAGGCGGCUGUCUGGUCUGUAACUGACGCUGAGGCUCGAAAGUAUGGGUAGCAAACAGGAUUAGAUACCCUGGUAGUCCAUACCGUAAACGAUGAAUGCUAAGUGUUGGAGGGUUUCCGCCCUUCAGUGCUGCAGCUAACGCAUUAAGCAUUCCGCCUGGGGAGUACGGCCGCAAGGCUGAAACUCAAAGGAAUUGACGGGGGCCCGCACAAGCGGUGGAGCAUGUGGUUUAAUUCGAAGCUACGCGAAGAACCUUACCAGGUCUUGACAUACUAUGCAAAUCUAAGAGAUUAGACGUUCCCUUCGGGGACAUGGAUACAGGUGGUGCAUGGUUGUCGUCAGCUCGUGUCGUGAGAUGUUGGGUUAAGUCCCGCAACGAGCGCAACCCUUAUUAUCAGUUGCCAGCAUUAAGUUGGGCACUCUGGUGAGACUGCCGGUGACAAACCGGAGGAAGGUGGGGAUGACGUCAAAUCAUCAUGCCCCUUAUGACCUGGGCUACACACGUGCUACAAUGGAUGGUACAACGAGUUGCGAACUCGCGAGAGUAAGCUAAUCUCUUAAAGCCAUUCUCAGUUCGGAUUGUAGGCUGCAACUCGCCUACAUGAAGUCGGAAUCGCUAGUAAUCGCGGAUCAGCAUGCCGCGGUGAAUACGUUCCCGGGCCUUGUACACACCGCCCGUCACACCAUGAGAGUUUGUAACACCCAAAGUCGGUGGGGUAACCUUUUAGGAACCAGCCGCUAAAGGGUGGACCAGGGUUGUG
rnacentral:rRNA from 2 species